rnacentral:rRNA from 1 species
GGAGGCAGCAGUGGGGAAUAUUGCACAAUGGACGGAAGUCUGAUGCAGCGACGCCGCGUGGGGGAUGAAGGCUUUCGGGUUGUAAACUCCUUUUAACACUGAACAAGGCGAAAGUUGAGGGUAGGUGUUGAAUAAGCGCCGGCUAACUACGUGCCAGCAGCCGCGGUAAUACGUAGGGCGCGAGCGUUGUCCGGAAUUAUUGGGCGUAAAGAGCUCGUAGGCGGUUUGUCGCGUCUGCUGUGAAAGACCGGGGCUUAACUCCGGGGCUGCAGUGGGUACGGGCAGGCUAGAGUGCGGUAGGGGUAAUUGGAAUUCCUGGUGUAGCGGUGGAAUGCGCAGAUAUCAGGAGGAACACCGAUGGCGAAGGCAGGUUACUGGGCCGUUACUGACGCUGAG